AGUGAACGCUGGCGGUAGGCCUAACACAUGCAAGUCGAACGGCAGCACAGUAAGAGCUUGCUCUUACGGUUGGCGAGUGGCGGACGGGUGAGGAAUACAUCGGAAUCUACUUUUUCGUGGGGGAUAACGUAGGGAAACUUACGCUAAUACCGCAUACGACCUACGGGUGAAAGCAGGGGAUCUUCGGACCUUUCGCGAUUGAAUGAGCCGAUGUCGGAUUAGCUAGUUGGCGGGGUAAAGGCCCACCAAGGCAACGAUCCGUAGCUGGUCUGAGAGGAUGAUCAGCCACACUGGAACUGAGACACGGUCCAGACUCCUACGGGAGGCAGCAGUGGGGAAUCUUGGACAAUGGGCGCAAGCCUGAUCCAGCCAUACCGCGUGGGUGAAGAAGGCCUUCGGGUUGUAAAGCCCUUUUGUUGGGAAAGAAAAGCAGCAGGUUAAUACCCCGCUGUUCUGACGGUACCCAAAGAAUAAGCACCGGCUAACUUCGUG
rnacentral:rRNA from 1 species